rnacentral:rRNA from 1 species
AUACGUAGGGAGCAAGCGUUGUCCGGAUUUACUGGGUGUAAAGGGUGCGUAGGCGGCAGCGCAAGUCAGAUGUGAAAGGUAUGGGCUUAACUCAUAGACUGCAUUUGAAACUGCGUUGCUUGAGUGAAGUAGAGGCAGGCGGAAUUCCCGGUGUAGCGGUGAAAUGCGUAGAGAUCGGGAGGAACACCAGUGGCGAAGGCGGCCUGCUGGGCUUUAACUGACGCUGAGGCACGAAAGCAUGGGUAGCAAACAGGAUUAGAUACCCUGGUAGUCCAUGCCGUAAACGAUGAUUACUAGGUGUGGGGGGUCUGACCCCUUCCGUGCCGGAGUUAACACAAUAAGUAAUCCACCUGGGGAGUACGACCGCAAGGUUGAA